CGGCUCCUCCCCUUCCUGCUCAGGCCCUGCCCAGCUUCCACGUCAGCCCCUUCCCCUGACCUGGGCAAAGAACAAUAGGAACCUUUCAAGAGAAGCAGUAAGGACCAGAUGCAGUCAAGGGGCAGAGGGGCCAGGAGAUGCCAAGGUCAUGGCCCAGACUCCUGGAGCUGAUGUGCCUGCCAUCUGCUGCCUGCCUCCAGAGACCCAGGCUCUGGUCCUUCCUCGGCCUUCUCUAAGCCAGAUCCCAGGCGCCUGGCUAGCCCCAGCCUUACUGCUGAUCUCCACAACUCCCUGCCUUAACUUUGUACUUGUCCCGCCUCCCGCCCCCCCAGCACCUCCCCCACUCUGAGGUCUCUCUGACUCUGGUCAUGUGGGGCUCCCCUCGUUCCCAGCCAGGUGACCCUGUGGCCGUUGCACAGGGUCUGCAGACCCCUCACCUUGAGGGUGCCAGUUCCCAAACUCUAAAUCCCAGUCUCUCUCCACGUUGUGCUUUUACCAAUGACUAGUGGCUGGGUCCUGACCUGCCACUGAGUCUGUCUCCACUCUGGGAAUGGUCAGGUUCUGUACUCACUGUUCUUGGCAGACAAGGAUCUGGGCCCCUUUCUUUAGAGAGCUUCUAUGGCCAAGUAGGGUCAGACUGCUCCUCUGUGGACCACCCACUGAGUCCCCUCCUGAGCCUUCUGUCUCUCAACUCUGGGCCAACUUGUCCAGGCUUAUUUCCACCUCUCCCCCUAACCAGCUGUCACCAGCCACCCCAGGAGAAGGGCACUGCAGAGUUCAGGCCAUUCAUCUUUCAAUACCCAAGCCUCUUAGCAUAGGAGAAUGAUGACAGAAGCCCUCUGCCUACACCUUUUCCCAAGCAAGGCCAAGGGCAGGCAGAGUCAAGUAGGUAGCAAUCGAGAGCGAAGACAGAAGUCAGGUCCAGAAAUUCAGGUUCACUUUAGAACAGUUGACUG